rnacentral:rRNA from 1 species
CUACGGGGCGCAGCAGUGAGGAAUAUUGCACAAUGGGGGGAACCCUGAUGCAGCAACGCCGCGUGGAGGAUGACGCAUUUCGGUGUGUAAACUCCUUUUAUAUGUCAAGAAAAUGACGGUAGCAUAUGAAUAAGCACCGGCUAACUCCGUGCCAGCAGCCGCGGUAAUACGGAGGGUGCAAGCGUUACUCGGAAUCACUGGGCGUAAAGGACGCGUAGGCGGGUUGGAAAGUCAGGUGUGAAAUCCUACAGCUUAACUGUAGGAAUGCACUUGAAACUUCUAAUCUAGAGUAUGGGAGGGGGAGAUGGAAUUAGUGGUGUAGGGGUAAAAUCCGUAUAUAUCACUAGGAAUACCUAAAGCGAAGGCGAUCUCCUGGAACAUUACUGACGCUAAGGCGUGAAAGCGUGGGGAGCAAACAGGAUUAGAUACCCGAGUAGUC